CCUACGGGAGGCAGCAGUGGGGAAUAGUUGCACAAUGGGGGAAACCCUGAUGCAGCGACGCCGUGUGAGUGAAGAAGUAUUUCGGUAUGUAAAGCUCUAUCAGCAGGGAAGAAAGUGACGGUACCUGAGUAAGAAGCCCCGGCUAACUACGUGCCAGCAGCCGCGGUAAU
rnacentral:rRNA from 1 species